UACGGGGGGAGCAAGCGUUGUCCGGAAUUAUUGGGCGUAAAGGGCGUGUAGGCGGCCUGGUCAGUCGAAUGUGAAAUCCCACGGCUCAACCGUGGAACUGCGUUCGAUACUGCCUGGCUUGAGUAUGUGAGAGGUGUGCGGAAUUCCUGGUGUAGCGGUGGAAUGCGUAGAUAUCAGGAAGAACACCGAUGGCGAAGGCAGCACACUGGCGCAAUACUGACGCUGAGGCGCGAAAGCGUGGGGAGCAAACAGGAUUAGAAACCCAGUAGUCC
rnacentral:rRNA from 1 species